UACGUAGGUGGCAAGCGUUGUCCGGAAUUACUGGGCGUAAAGGGCGUGUAGGCGGGGGGACAAGUCAGAUGUGAAAUACCGCGGCUUAACUGCGGGGGUGCAUCUGAAACUGUUCUUCUUGAGUGUCGGAGAGGAAAGUGGAAUUCCCAGUGUAGCGGUGAAAUGCGUAGAGAUUGGGAGGAACACCAGUGGCGAAGGCGGCUUUCUGGACGAUAACUGACGCUGAGGCGCGAAAGCGUGGGGAGCAAACAGGAUUAGAUACC
rnacentral:rRNA from 1 species